rnacentral:rRNA from 1 species
AGCAGCCGCGGUAAUUCCAGCUCCAAUAGCGUAUAUUAAAGUUGUUGCAGUUAAAAAGCUCGUAGUUGAAUUUCGAGACCGGCUUACUGGUCGUGCUAUUGUACGUACUGGUAUAAUCGGUUUCUCCUUUCUGACGAACUUUAAUGCCAUUAAUUUGGUGUUUUAGGGAAUCAGGACUGUUACUUUGAAAAAAUUAGAGUGUUUAAAGCAGGCUCACGCUUGAAUACAUCAGCAUGGAAUAACGGAAUAGGACGUUUGAUUCUAUUUUGUUGGUUUCUAGGAUCGACGUAAUGAUUAAUAGGGAUAGUUGGGGGCAUUAGUAUUCAAUUGUCAGAGGUGAAAUUCUUGGAUUUAUUGAAGACUAACUACUGCGAAAGCAUUUGCCAAGGAUGUUUUCAUUAAUCAAGAACGAAAGUUAGGGGAUCGAAGACGAUCAGAUACCGUCGUAGUCUUAACCAUAGACUAUGCCGACUAGGGAUCGGGAUGAUGUAAUUUUUAAUGAC